rnacentral:ncRNA from 1 species
UCACUGGAGUUUCUGAACAGGGAGUAUGUGAAGGUGGGCUCCAAAGGGCCAUCUUCCUGGCCAUAUGAAGAGAUCCCACUUGCAGAAUGAAGCCAGAUAGAAAAAAUGGGCAAAGAUAGGCCUGACACCUUGCUUAGCCACACCCCCACAGGACACAGCAGCGAUAAAAAUUAAGCCAUGAAUGAAAGUUCAGCUAAGCCAUAUUAAAUUAGGGUUGGUAAAUUUCAUGCCAGCCACUGCGGUCAUACAAUUAACCCGAAUUAAUAGACCCACAGCAUAAAGCGUGUUAUAGAGGAACCCCUCCCCACCCCGCGCUAAAGUUAAAUUUUAACUCAGCUGUAAAAAGCUACAGUUAACAUAAAAAUAUGGCACGAAAGUAACUGAACACCUCUGAUCACACGAUAGCUAAGACCCAAACAGGGAUUAGAUACCCCACUACGCUUAACCCUAAACUUAGAUAGCUAACUAAACAAAUCUGUCUGCCAGAGAACUAGCGACAGCUUAAAACUCAAAGGACUUUGCAGUGCUUUAUUUUAUAUCCCUCUAGAGGAGCCUGUCCUAUAAUCGAUAAAUCCCAAUAUACCUUACCACCCCUUGCUAAUCCAAUCUGUAUACUGCCAUCUUCAGCAAACCCUAAAAAGGAAGAAAAGUAAGCACAAGUAUCUUAACAUAAAAAAGUUAGGUCAAGCUGUAACCUAUGAGGUGGGAAGUAAUGGGCUACAUUUUCUAUCCUAGAACACUUUUCCACGAAAAGUCCUUAUGAAAUUAAGAACCAAAGGAGGAUUUAGUAGUAAAUUGAGAAGAGAGAGCUCAAUUGAAUUGGGCCACGAAGCACGCACACACUACCUGUCACCCUCCUCAACUGACAAAACCCGAAGACAAUCUAUUCAAACUAUAAAAAACACAAGAGGAGAUAAGCCGUAACAAGGUAAGCAUACUGGAAAGUGUGCUUGGAUAAAACAAGAU